rnacentral:rRNA from 1 species
GGGAAUCUUGCGCAAUGGGCGAAAGCCUGAUCCAGCCAUGCCGCGUGUGUGAAGAAGGCCUUCGGGUUGUAAAGCACUUUUGUUGGGGAAGAAAAGACACCGGUUAAUACCCGGGGUUUCUGACGGUACCCAAAGAAUAAGCACCGGCUAACUUCGUGCCAGCAGCCGCGGUAAUACGAAGGGUGCAAGCGUUACUCGGAAUUACUGGGCGUAAAGCGUGCGUAGGUGGUUCGUUAAGUCUGUCGUGAAAGCCCCGGGCUCAACCUGGGAAUGGCGAUGGAUACUGGCGGGCUAGAGUGCGGUAGAGGAGAGUGGAAUUCCCGGUGUAGCAGUGAAAUGCGUAGAGAUCGGGAGGAACAUCAGUUGCGAAGGCGGCUCUCUGGACCAGCACUGACACUGAGGCACGAAAGCGUGGGGAGCAAA